rnacentral:lncRNA from 1 species
CUAUUUUGAGAAAGUCCUAGCAGUUUAUUGGCCCUGGAUGAAAAAAGAGAGCAGUGGAGAGGAAAGCAAGGUCAAUGGUGUGGUGUCAGGUGGGUCUGGGCUGAUAGAGAGAACUUGGGUUCCACCACAAAGAAGCUAAAAAGCAAAAAGAGGGUGUGUGAUGGGGAAGCAGCCGGCCACAGCGUCCAGGAUCAUGGCUCAAUCCGGAAGACAAUCUUACUUGUUAAUUUGUGUUUUGCUGCCCUGAUAAACAAUCAGGGCUAUAUCUCACCAGAAGAUAAGAGAUCUAUCUGAUGUGGCAGGUGGUAAAAUAGCAUGGCCAAAGGAACAGUAAGACUGUCAAAUUCGGAUUUGAAAGGUGUGGAGCAGAGUGGCCCUUGCUGCACCAUGAUCUUAGGAGAGCCGGGGAAGACACACAGCAAUGGCACACACAGAUUGGUUUCAAGUCACCAAGCUGGUCCAGGCUACAAGUCUCACCAUCCAGGAAAAAUAGCAGCUGUAGCAGUUCCCCUCCUGCCUAGGCUUACCAUGGGGAAGAGCACAAUUCUAGCCCUGCUCCUGGGGUGAUGUCCAUGGUUCUGACUGUGGAGGCCUCAACCCCACUCAAGAGAAGGUGCUCCAAUCUCUGGCCAAAACUACAAUGCCUGUGCAGCCACACUGCCAGGUCACUAAGACCAGCUUAUUCAAGACAGAGGCCUUGUUCAUUCUGUACUCAUCAUUCAAAUCUACUGUGCCACUCUAUAUCUCAAUUAUUGUUG